rnacentral:rRNA from 1 species
AACCAGUACCGUGAGGGAAAGGUGAAAAGAACCCCGGGAGGGGAGUGAAAGAGAACCUGAAACCAUAUGCCUACAAGAAGUCAGAGCCCGUUAAAGGGUGAUGGCGUGCCUUUUGUAGAAUGAACCGGCGAGUUACUGUAUGGAGCGAGGUUAAGCAGGAUAUGCGGAGCCGAAGCGAAAGCGAGUCUUAAGAGGGCGCGAGUUGCAUGCAGUAGACCCGAAACCGGGUGAUCUAGCUAUCCAUGGGCAGGCUGAAGUGGAGGUAAAACUCCAUGGAGGGCCGAACACACGUUCGUUGCAAUGACCGGUGAUGACCUGUGGAUAGCGGUGAAAUUCCAAUCGAACCCGGAGAUAGCUGGUUCUCCCCGAAAUAGCUUUAGGGCUAGCGUCGAGAGAAGAGUUGCGUGAAGGUAGAGCACUGAAUAUGUGAUGGCCCCAUCUCGGGGUACUGAGCAUAAUCAAACUGCGAAUGUCACGCCAACAUGCUCGGCAGUCAGACAGCGGGUGAUAAGGUCCGUUGUCAAGAGGGAAACAGCCCAGACCAUCAGCUAAGGUCCCAAAAUGUAUGCUAAGUGGAAAAGGAUGUGGAGAUGUACAGACAACUAGGAGGUUGGCUCAGAAGCAGCCAUCCUUUAAAGAGUGCGUAACAGCUCACUAGUCGAAUGACUCUGCGCCGAUAAUUUACCGGGGCUAAGCAUACUACCGAAGCUAUGGAUCCCAAGGGAUGGUAGGGGAGCGUUCCAUGAACGGAGAAGUACGACCGAAAGGACGUGUGGAGAUCAUGGAAGAGAGAAUGCCGGUGUGAGUAGCGGAACGUGGGUGAGAAUCCCACGCACCGAAAACCCAAGGUUUCCAGAGGAAGGUUCGUCCGCUCUGGGUAAGUCGGGACCUAAGGCGAGGCCGAAAGGCGUAGUCGAUGGACAACAGGUAGAGAUUCCUGUACCCGUAUAUAUGUGAAGGAAUGACGGAGAGAGGAAGCUGCAGCCAGCGGCUGGAAGAGCUGGUGCAAGCGAGAUAUCGGGAUGGCAGGCAAAUCCACCAUCCGAAACGAGAAGGCGUGAAGCGUACGGAAAGCUACGGCGAGUACGGAAGGCAGUGGAGGAACUUCCAAGAAAAGUUUCUAACGUUAAGUAUAUAUGGCCCGUACCGAAAAUGGACACACAUGGGUGAGGAGAGAAUCCUAAGGUGAGCGAGAGAACUAUAGCUAAGGAACUCUGCAAAAUGACUCCGUAACUUAGGGAGAAGGAGUGCUCAUAGAGAUAUGAGCCGCAGUGAAACGGCCCAAGCGACUGUUUACCAAAAACACAGCUCUCUGCUAAGCCGCAAGGCGAAGUAUAGGGGGUGACGCCUGCCCGGUGCUGGAAGGUUAAGGGGAGGGGUUAACGCAAGUGAAGCCCUGAACUGAAGCCCCAGUAAACGGCGGCCGUAACUAUAACGGUCCUAAGGUAGCGAAAUUCCUUGUCAGGUAAGUUCUGACCCGCACGAAUGGCGUAAUGAUCUGGGCACUGUCUCGACAGCCCACCCGGCGAAAUUGUAGUACUGGUGAAGAUGCCAGUUACCCGCAACUAGACGGAAAGACCCCAUGGAGCUUUACUGCAGCUUAAUACUGGAAAUCGGUAAUUCAUGUACAGGAUAGGUGGGAGACGGAGAAGCAUGGUCGUCAGGUCAUGUGGAGUCGCCCUUGGGAUACCACUCUUGGAUUGCUGAUUUUCUAACCUGCGGCCGUGAAUCCGGUCGGGGGACACUGUUAGGCGGGCAGUUUGACUGGGGCGGUCGCCUCCAAAAAGGUAACGGAGGCGCUCAAAGGUUCGUUCAGCACGGACGGAAAUCGUGCAUUGAGUGUAAACGCAUAAACGAGCCUAACUGCGAGACCGACGGGUCGAGCAGUAACGAAAGUUGGAGUUAGUGAUCCGGUGGUAUGUGAGUGGAAAUGCCAUCGCUCAACGGAUAAAAGCUACCCUGGGGAUAACAGGCUGAUCUCCCCCAAGCGUCCACAGCGACGGGGAGGUUUGGCACCUCGAUGUCGGCUCGUCACAUCCUGGGGCUGUAUUCGGUCCCAAGGGUUCGGCUGUUCGCCGAUUAAAGUGGCACGCGAGCUGGGUUCAGAACGUCGUGAGACAGUUCGGUCCCUAUCUGUUGCGGGCGUAAGAGAUUUGAAGGGAGCUGUCCUUAGUACGAGAGGACCGGGAUGGACGUACCUCUGGUGCACCAGUUGUCCUGCCAAGGGCAUAGCUGGGUAGCUAUGUACGGACGAGAUAAACGCUGAAAGCAUCUAAGCGUGAAACUCCCCCUAAGAUGAGAUCUCUCAUCCUUUAUGGAGUAAGGGCCCAGAAAGACGAUCUGGUUGAUAGGCCGGAGGUGGAAGUGCAGUAAUGUAUGGAGCUGACCGGUACUAAUAGCCCGAGGGCUUGACCUA